rnacentral:rRNA from 1 species
AUUGAACGCUGGCGGCAGGCUUAACACAUGCAAGUCGAGCGGAGAUGAGGUGCUUGCACCUUAUCUUAGCGGCGGACGGGUGAGUAAUGCUUAGGAAUCUGCCUAUUAGUGGGGGACAACAUUCCGAAAGGAAUGCUAAUACCGCAUACGUCCUACGAGAGAAAGCAGGGGAUCUUCGGACCUUGCGCUAAUAGAUGAGCCUAAGUCGGAUUAGCUAGUUGGUGGGGUAAAGGCAUACCAAGGCGACGAUCUGUAGCGGGUCUGAGAGGAUGAUCCGCCACACUGGGACUGAGACACGGCCCAGACUCCUACGGGAGGCAGCAGUUGGGAAUAUUGGACAAUGGGGGGAACCCUGAUCCAGCCAUGCCGCGUGUGUGAAGAAGGCCUUAUGGUUGUAAAGCACUUUAAGCGAGGAGGAGGCUACUGAGACUAAUACUCUUGGAUAGUGGACGUUACUCGCAGAAUAAGCACCGGCUAACUCUGUGCCAGCAGCCGCGGUAACAC